UGUGGGAGCUGGCUUGCCUGCGAUGCCGACAACUCGGUCCAACUGAUACACCGAGUUGAUUUCAUCGCAGGCAAGCCAGCUCCCACA
rnacentral:misc_RNA from 1 species